UCAAGCGACUAAGCGUAUACGGUGGAUGCCUUGGCAGCUGGAGGCGAUGAAGGACGUAGGAGCCUGCGAAAAGUCUAGGGGAGCUGGCACACAAGCUUUGAUCCUGGAAUGUCCGAAUGGGGAAACCCACUCCUUUUAGGAGUAUCCCUAACUGAAUACAUAGGUUAGGGAGGCGAACCCGGGGAACUGAAACAUCUAAGUACCCGGAGGAAAAGAAAUCAACCGAGAUUCCCUGAGUAGCGGCGAGCGAAAGGGGAUUAGCCCUUAAGGUCUUUAUGUCUUAGUGGAAGGAUCUGGAAAGUUCCGCGAUACAGGGUGAUAGCCCCGUACACGAAAAGGCACAUUGAUUGAAAUCGAGUAGGUCGGGACACGUGUUAUCUUGACUGAACAUGGGGGGACCAUCCUCCAAGGCUAAAUACUCCCAGCUGACCGAUAGUGAACCAGUACCGUGAGGGAAAGGCGAAAAGAACCCCGGAGAGGGGAGUGAAAUAGAACCUGAAACCGUAUACGUACAAGCAGUAGGAGCCCUUCGGGGUGACUGCGUACCUUUUGUAUAAUGGGUCAGCGACUUAUUGUCUGUAGCAAGGUUAACCGCAUAGGGGAGCCGUAGAGAAAUCGAGUCUUAAUAGGGCGUUUAGUUGCAGGCAAUAGACCCGAAACCCGGCGAUCUAUCCAUGGGCAGGUUGAAGGUUGAGUAACAUCAACUGGAGGACCGAACUCACUAAUGUUGAAAAAUUAGGAGAUGACCUGUGGAUCGGAGUGAAAGGCUAAUCAAGCCGGGAGAUAGCUGGUUCUCCUCGAAAGCUAUUUAGGUAGCGCCUCGCGUCUCACCCUCGGGGGUAGAGCACUGUUUGGGCUAGGGGGUCAUCCCGACUUACCAACCCCAUGCAAACUCCGAAUACCGAGGAGUGCAAUCGCGGGAGACACACGGCGGGUGCUAACGUCCGUCGUGAAAAGGGAAACAACCCAGACCGCCAGCUAAGGUCCCAAAUAUCAGUUAAGUGGGAAACGAUGUGGGAAGGCCCAGACAGCUAGGAGGUUGGCUUAGAAGCAGCCAUCCUUUAAAGAAAGCGUAAUAGCUCACUAGUCGAGUCGGCCCGCGCGGAAGAUAUACCGGGGCUCAAACUGAUAACCGAAGCUGCGGAUGCUCUUAGGAGCAUGGUAGAGGAGCGUUGUGUAAGCCGCUGAAGGUGGACUGUGAGGUCUGCUGGAGGUAUCACAAGUGCGAAUGCUGACAUGAGUAACGACAAGGGGGGUGAAAAACCUCCCCGCCGGAAGACCAAGGGUUCCUGUCCAACGCUAAUCGGGACAGGGUUAGUCGGCCCCUAAGGCGAGGGCGAAAGCCGUAGUCGAUGGGAAACAGGUUAAUAUUCCUGUACUUGCAAUUGCUGCGAUGGAGUGACGGAGAAGGCUAGGCCAGCAUGGCGAUUGGUUGUCCAUGUUUAAGGUUGUAGGCUGGGGACUUAGGCAAAUCCGGGUCCCUAAGGCUGAGAGCUGAUGACGAAGCUUACUUCGGUAAGUGAAGUGGUUGAUGCCCUGCUUCCAGGAAAAACUUCUAAGCUUCAGGCAAUUGCGAACCGUACUCUAAACCGACACAGGUGGUCAGGGAGAGAAUACCAAGGCGCUUGAGAGAACUCUGGUGAAGGAACUAGGCAAAAUGGUACCGUAACUUCGGGAGAAGGUACGCCGGUUUUGGUGAUGGGACUUGCUCCCUAAGCUGAGGCCGGUCGAAGUGACCAGGUGGCUGCGACUGUUUAUAAAAAACAUAGCACUCUGCAAACACGUAAGUGGACGUAUAGGGUGUCACGCCUGCCCGGUGCCGGAAGGUUAAUUGAUGGGCUUAGCUUCGGCGAAGCUCUUGAUCGAAGCCCCGGUAAACGGCGGCCGUAACUAUAACGGUCCUAAGGUAGCGAAAUUCCUUGUCGGGUAAGUUCCGUCCUGCACGAAUGGCGUAACGAUGGCCACGCUGUCUCCACCAGAGACUCAGUGAAAUUGAAAUCGCUGUUAAGAUGCAGUGUACCCGCGGCUAGACGGAAAGACCCCGUGAACCUUUACUACAGCUUUGCACUGAACUUUGAGCCUA
rnacentral:rRNA from 1 species